CGGAGGAUGCAAGCGUUAUCCGGAAUGAUUGGGCGUAAAGCGUCUGUAGGUGGUUUAUUAAGUCUGCUGUUAAAGCACAGGGCUCAACCCUGUAUAGGCGGUAGAAACUGGUAGACUUGAGUAUGGUAGGGGUAGAGGGAAUUCCCGAUGUAGUGGUGAAAUGCGUUGAUAUCGGGAAGAACACCAAAGGCGAAAGCACUCUGCUGGGCCAAUACUGACACUGAGAGACGAAAGCUAGGGGGAGCAAAUGGGAUU
rnacentral:rRNA from 1 species